GAUGAACGCUAGCGACAGGCUUAACACAUGCAAGUCGAGGGGCAGCACAGGUAGCAAUACCGGGUGGCGACCGGCGCACGGGUGAGUAACGCGUAUGCAACUUACCUAUCAGAGGGGGAUAACCCGGCGAAAGUCGGACUAAUACCGCAUGAAGCAGGGGUCCCGCAUGGGGAUAUUUGCUAAAGAUUCAUCGCUGAUAGAUAGGCAUGCGUUCCAUUAGGCAGUUGGCGGGGUAACGGCCCACCAAACCGACGAUGGAUAGGGGUUCUGAGAGGAAGGUCCCCCACAUUGGUACUGAGACACGGACCAAACUCCUACGGGAGGCAGCAGUGAGGAAUAGUGGGCAAUGGCCGAGAGGCUGAACCAGCCAAGUCGCGUGAGGGAUGAAGGUUCUAUGGAUCGUAAACCUCUUUUAUAAGGGAAUAAAGUGCGGGACGUGUCCCGUUUUGUAUGUACCUUAUGAAUAAGGAUCGGCUAACUCCGUG
rnacentral:rRNA from 1 species